CGGAUCCAUAUUGAAACCUAGUGAUGUAUGGAUUAGUGGCGGACGGGUGAGUAACGCGUGGAUAACCUGCCGUAUACAGGGGGAUAACACUUAGAAAUAGGUGCUAAUACCGCAUAAGCGCACGGUUCCGCAUGGAACAGUGUGAAAAACUCCGGUGGUAUACGAUGGAUCCGCGUCUGAUUAGCCAGUUGGCGGGGUAACGGCCCACCAAAGCGACGAUCAGUAGCCGGCCUGAGAGGGUGAACGGCCACAUUGGGACUGAGACACGGCCCAAACUCCUACGGGAGGCAGCAGUGGGGAAUAUUGCACAAUGGGGGAAACCCUGAUGCAGCGACGCCGCGUGAGUGAAGAAGUAUUUCGGUACGUAAAGCUCUAUCAGCAGGGAAGAAAAUGACGGUACCUGACUAAGAAGCCCCGGCUAACUACGUGCCAGCAGCCGCGGUAAUACGUAGGGGGCAAGCGUUAUCCGGAUUUACUGGGUGUAAAGGGAGCGUAGACGGCAGCGCAAGUCUGGAGUGAAAUGCCGGGGCCCAACCCCGGAACUGCUUUGGAAACUGUGCAGCUCGAGUGCAGGAGAGGUAAGCGGAAUU
rnacentral:rRNA from 1 species